GAUUCUCUUCUUUUCAUUGUCAAACUUCGGAUGGAUCCAUGAAUCGCAAGUCACAUGAACUGGUCCAGUAGGGAAGCCAUCAAGCACAACAUCAUGAAGGUACAUCUCUUUAUGGUGCUCAUUUUCAACAAAAAUGGCACCAAUCUCUCCAAAAUCUGGUGGAACCACAAAAUCCGCUUCAUACUUGAUAUCCUCUCCUUCAUGAUCUAUCUUGUGCGCGUACUUUCGAAUUGAGGGCUUCUCUAAUCCCGUCUCUAGAGAAAUUGAAAAAAAAAAGUUGGAAUUUAGACAAGGAAUAAACUUUUUUCCUUUUUUUUAAGUGGGUACGGACAGUUUUUUUACUUGCACAAAUUUUUUCUUGCUUCAAUCAUUCAAAUAUAUAUAUAUAUAUAUAUAUAUUUCUUUGCAAACAAGGAAUAUAUGUUAAUUUUUUUUAAUAAAUAAAUCAUUCGAUAAGAACUUAAAAGGUUGUUUCUUGCACUUGUAAAGAAAAAAGAAAAAUAAAAUACUUGGAACACAGGUCUUUCAAGAAGCACUGCUUACUUGGGUCAAGCUCGGCACUAACAAGCUCCAAGAGGAGUGUUUUGCCAAACAGGUCUGUAAAAUCAUCAAGUCCUCGUUCUAUCCCUAUUUCUGUCCAAAAAUCAACAACUGUUUCUUUCACAGUCACCACAGCCUUAACAUCUGUGGACUGCUGUGUGACACUAGCUAUAGAUUUAAUGCUUCCAUGUUUAUAGCCAACACGAACUUUUUUGUUUGCUUUAGGGGACAAGGACCUUGAAUACACAGGAAAAGAAGCAUGACCACUGCCAUGGAUGAAUGGUUUAGGUAGUAGAAAAGGGAUUUUUGUUGAAAGGUGUGACUGGUGAAGCUGUGGCUUCAACAUUGUUGCUAAUAGGAGAGGGGAUACUUAGGUUUAACUAGGAGU
rnacentral:lncRNA from 1 species